GAAUCCUCAUUCUUUGUACAUUUUACUCUACUUUCUUUACUUUGUGCAUAUUCUCUUAUACUCAAUUAAUUAACCGUUGUCUUCAACUUACAAGUAUUUUGUCAGACUUAAACUUGGUAUCUUGGCAUCCAACAUUUGUCACACUAAUUGGCAUGGAACUCUAUUGGUGGUUGACAUAUUUUCACAUCAUAUCUCUGCUUGUGGAGUUAGUACUCCAGGAAAGAUGGUUCAAUCAUCCAUUCUGAAAGGGAUGUUCCCUCCUGGAAAGAAUAUUAGAGCCUGAGAAGAAUUACAAUAGCAGUUGAUAAAAGCAAAACGGGGAUCUGACUGGUACAGUCUCUUUGUCUUGCCUGCCAUGGAAUGCCUAAUGUAGGAGGACUUCCGUGAUCUCUCCAAAAGAGAAGAUUCUGCGCAUCGGUAGUCGAGUUCACUAAGCUAUAUUGGGUACUGAACUGCGGCAAACUGCUGAGCUGUUGCGACAAUUGACCUCUCUGACAGUUCUAUGAUCCUUCUGCUUUAACACCUCAAGAAUGCAAGUAUUCGGGAGUCAUGGUGUUGCCUCUCUAACAGAAUGCUGUGGAGUCCUGUACGUUUGCUGGAGUAAUCCUGAUUUGGCGAAAUCUUUACUUCACGUAGAUCAGCAUCUCAGCAUUCAGGGGCUGCACAAAAUGCCUUUCUAAGAGGUGAUCAUUCUUCUGCACAGCAUCACUCUCUAAAGGCUCGGGAGGAAUGGUUGGUUGCUGAAAGACUCAAAUGACAGUGCAGCCAAGGACAUCCUAAGUAUCAGGAACAGCAACAACGUUAUAUGGACAUUGGACUUGCAUGGUCUUCACAAAACCGAAGCUAUUCAAGCCUUGAAAGAACGUCUGUGGAAACUCGAAUAGUAGUAAACUUUCAUAUUAAGAUUGAAUUGAGAUCACGCUGAAAAAAUAGAGCAUGCGACUCCCAACCAAUUUUGGGUAUUUGAAUCACGCGAGCAACCAAAAUGAGGAUUUCUUGGAUUUCAAUGACAAAAGAGAUU